CUCACACACUCACACCUUUUGUGACAUCACCUUCUCAAGGCUGCCCUUAAUGUGUAUGUUUGGGAGGUAGAAAAGGAGAAGUAGAGACAAGGCUUCACCAUGUUGGCCAGGAUGGACUCGAUCCCCGGACCUCGUGAUCCACCUGCCUCGGCCUCCCAAAAUGCUGGGAUUACAGGCAUGAACCAUCGUGUUGGACUCCAGUGGACAGACUCUUAACCACUCCUCUACAUCACAUGCUUCAUAGCACAUGGACAACUGUGCAAAUACUGAAGCCAUUUCUACCCACCAGGUAUGAUGGAUGGAGCAUUGGAGCAACCACAAGAGGAAAUAACUGAGACGUGAAGAAAACAAUCAAGACUCUGUCCCUGACAUCACUGAGCAGUCAGCAACUGCCCACUGCCAAACCUACUGCCAUGUGAAAAAUAAAGACCUCAAGAUCUU